GACGAACGCUGGCGGCGUGCUUAACACAUGCAAGUCGAACGGAAAGGCCCUGCUUUUGUGGGCUGCUCGAGUGGCGAACGGGUGAGUAACACGUGAGUAACCUGCCCUUGUCUUUGGGAUAACUUCAGGAAACUGGGGCUAAUACCGUAUAGGAUCUCCUGCUGCAUGGUGGGCGUUGGAAAUUUUCGGCGGUUGGGGAUGGACUCGCGGCUUAUCAGCUUGUUGGUUGGGUAGUGGCUUACCAAGGCUUUGACGGGUAGCCGGCCUGAGAGGGUGACCGGCCACAUUGGGACUGAGAUACGGACCAGACUCGUACGGGAGGCAGCAGGGGGGAAUAUUGCACAAUGGGCGGAAGCGUGAUGCAGCAACGUCGCGUGCGGGAUGACGGCCUUCGGGGUGUAAACAGCUUUCGCCUGUGACGAAGCGUGAGUGACGGUAAUGGGUAAAGAAGCACCGGCUAACUACGUG
rnacentral:rRNA from 1 species